GCGCAGGCGCGGCAGCGCGCGCGCAGGCGCGGGGCGCUCUUCCUGAGGCCCGUUGGCGGCAGGCGCGCGGCAGGACCUGGUACUACAAAGCGACCGUAACCUCAGCGAUGGAGAGUGCAGAUAGUACCGAGGAGGAGAAGCCGACCGUGAGCAAUGACAACACAGACAAUGGCACUGAAACGGCAACAGAAGAACAGAAUAUGGACUUCAGUACUGAAAUCAUGAGUGUAACUGAGAUGGAACAGUCUCCUGACAGUUCUGCUGACGUGAACGAAGAGAACACACAGGAGAGUGAAAUUCCAAACAUUGAAAGUUUACAGACGACAGAUAUUGAGACUUGCUUCCCUCCAGAUUUUGACAAGUUCUGGAAAGUAGUGGAGGACAAUCCCCAGGAUUUCACCGGAUGGGUAUAUCUGCUGCAGUAUGUAGAGCAGGAGAACCACUUACCAGCUGCCAGGAAAGCAUUUGACAGGUUUUUCACGCAUUAUCCAUAUUGCUAUGGGUAUUGGAAAAAGUACGCAGACCUGGAGAAGCGACACGACAACGUUAAGCAGUCUGAUGAGGUGUAUCGCAGAGGGCUUCAGGCAAUUCCUCUUAGUGUUGAUCUUUGGAUACAUUAUAUAAACUUCUUAAAGGAGACCUUGGACCCUGCUGAUCCUGAAACUAACAGUACUAUUCGGGGAGCCUAUGAACAUGCAGUGUUAGCUGCUGGGACAGACUUCCGUUCUGACAGGCUAUGGGAAAUGUAUAUAAACUGGGAAAAUGAGCAGGGAAACCUAAGGGAAGUCACUUCCAUCUAUGACCGCAUCCUUGGGAUUCCAACGCAGCUCUACAGUCAUCACUUCCAGAGGUUUAAAGAACAUAUACAGAACAACUUGCCUCGAGACUUUCUGACUACUGAUCAGUUCAUUCAGCUGCGCAGAGAACUGGCAUCUGUUAAUGGCCACAGCGGGGAGGACGCUCAGCCUGUAGAUGACCUGCCCACUGGUGCUGAAGACAUAACUGACCCUGCCAAGCUAAUCACUGAGAUAGAGAACAUGAGGCACAGAAUCAUUGAGAUUCAUCAGGAAAUAUUUAACCACAACGAACACGAAGUCAGUAAGAGGUGGACGUUUGAAGAAGCGAUCAAGAGGCCUUACUUUCAUGUAAAACCUCUGGAGAAAAUUCAGCUGAAAAACUGGAAAGAGUACUUAGAGUUUGAGAUAGAAAAUGGCACUCACGAGCGAGUUGUGGUCCUCUUUGAGAGAUGUGUCAUUUCAUGUGCCCUCUAUGAGGACUUCUGGAUCAAGUAUGCCAAAUACAUGGAGAAUCAUAGUAUUGAAGGAGUGAGGCAUGUCUACAGCAGGGCUUGCACGAUACAUCUUCCUAAGAAACCAAUGGUGCACAUGCUGUGGGCAGCCUUUGAGGAGCAGCAGGGCAACAUCGAUGAAGCAAGAAGAAUCUUGAAAACCUUUGAAGAGUGUAUACUAGGGCUAGCAAUGAUCCGCUUGCGACGAGUGAGCUUAGAGCGCAGACAUGGCAACAUGGAGGAAGCCGAGCACCUGCUGGAGGAAGCUGUCAGGAAUGCCAAGUCCAUUAGCGAGUCAUCAUUUUAUGCCAUCAAGUUAGCUCGGCACCUCUUCAAAGUGCAGAAAAAUCUUCCAAAGGCAAGAAAAGUCCUGUCAGAAGCCAUAGAAAUUGACAAAGAAAAUACCAAACUGUAUCUCAACCUACUGGAAAUGGAGUACAGUGGUGACCUCAAGCAAAACGAGGAGAACAUCUUGAGCUGUUUUGACAAAGCUGUCAACGGUGCAUUGUCUAUAAAAAUGAGGAUUACAUUUUCUCAGCGCAAAGUGGAAUUCCUUGAAGAUUUUGGUUCUGAUGUAAACAAACUGCUGGAUGCCUAUGAUGAACACCAGGCACUCCUGAAGGAGCAGAAUUCUCUGAAAAGGAGAGCAGAGAACGGGUCAGAAGAGCCAGAUGAAAAGAAAAUGUUGACAGAUGACCCAACGUUGGCAUCAGCACAGAUGAUGGAUGGUGACAUGCAGGUCAAUCAGGCAGCAUACAACUACAAUGCCUGGUACCAGGUAGGUGUCUGCUGGGUUCUUCCACUCUUCAUGCCCACAUAGACGGGUGUCACACUGACACUGCUCAGUCUGGGGCCCAGGGUCAGUUGGUGAGGAAAGUUUGGAGGGAAAACUUAUCUCCUGUGUUUGCUGAUAACUUUUUGACCUGUAGACAAGUGUAAAAUAUUUCUUGAGGAGCAAGAGCAGUGUUUUGUGCUAGCUCUUCUUGGAAGAGCAGUAUGACAGCAGCUAGGACACUUCUGGCUGAGGGCAGUAGACCUGUCAUGCUUAAAUGUUUGCCCAGGAAUUGCUUGGGAUGCCAAUUCACUUGUGUGUUUUGUAGUCAUUUUCUCUAACUAGUAGCUCCUGUGCUGCCUCAGGGGUCUCUGCCACACCGGUACAAGCUGUGUGCCAGACCACCCUCAUUCAUCAGCUCACCCUUGGGACUGAUCUUGGCAUGGCAUUUCCUUUCAUUCCUUGUAAGAGCCUAAAGAGUGAAUCAAGAAUAUCCAGCCUUGGUUUCCUGUGGCUUGUGGCAACAGCACGUGCCCUGCCGACUUCUAGGCUGAGGUCCAUUUAGGCUGAUGGUCUAUUUGGUUUAGGCCCUUUCCAAGAACUGGGCUGUAAAGUCCCACUUCAAGCCCUGCCUCUGUGUGAGACUGAGCCUGGUCAAAGUGAGUUCUUCUGAUGUCCUCUUAGUGGAUACAGUGACAUGGCAAGGUGUGAAGUACUUGAUGUGUUGUGUGUCAUAGAGGGUCCAACUGGGACUCUUGCUGAAGCAACUUAAAAAUUCUUGUUGAGACCAGAAAGAGCCCCUGAGAACAGCAUUGCAGAGGGGACACAGACCAGCUGUUGUGUAGCUGGGGUUUAGUAUCGCCGAUAUGAGGGGUGAGUGUUGUUUCCAAAGUCAGGUGGUGAAAAGAGUCUCACCCAGCAUGAGGAAACUGCUCAGCACUAGGCUGGGAAAAACGCCCCAAGUUUCCAAACACAGAAUGGUGUGAAUAGCAAACUUAGGGUAUUGAUGGAGUCUCGGUCCUGUGGGUGACCUGGUGCAGUCUGCUGAAGAACAGCAGGCAGAAAUGCUUCCUGAGGAAUGGGGCCUUGCCACCCCAAUGACAUUAUGCUACUGAAUGCCUGCCUGGGCUCAGCCGCUGCAGUGGGACCACAGGACCUGCCUCUGAGAGCUUUAGAGGGAGCAGUGUCUGGGUGCUUGAGCUGUCUGCCCUGGCUCUUGAGGGUGUGCUGUCAUGGGAGCUACAAAACACACCAUUCCUGCUUCUGUGGCCCUCUGCUCCCCUUUCUCUUCUCCCUUACUGGAUUCUGCUGAAGGGGAAGUGAUGAGGAUGAGGAACUAUAUAGAGUGGGGAGCAAGGAGGGGACCCGAGGAGCAUGACCUGUCCUGCAUGGGAGGACUGACAACACGCAUGUUUAUUCAGUGACUAAAACCAUGAUGGGCAGCUGACCAGCCUCUGCGCUGCCCUCGAUCUGAGCCGUGCCCUGCCCUGGGAGCCGACCCACAGGGCAGUUUUAGCUCCCCAACAGAGCCGACUGCAGUGGAUGUCGGGGGUGGGCCUUGUGGGCCGUGCCCUGCAGAGGAGCAGCACUCCCGCUUGUUCCCAGCGCCGGAGCGGGCGCAGGCUGCUGCGUGCCAGGCCGCGUACAACUACCAGAACGCGUGGAAUUAUGGACAGUAUUAUCAUCCCACCUGAUCCGAGGAGCGAGGGAAGUUCACUGUGCUGCAGUUUCAACAAAGAUGGAAUAAUAAAAAAUAUAUUUUUCUAAA